GGUGCCGCUGCCCCCCGGCCAUUGCUAAUUAGUGAAGGAAAUUUCUUCGUGAAGGCUCAAAUUUAGUAGAGUGCACUCAUUUGGCCCCCUCAAAGUUGCAUAUUUUCUAUUUGCCCCCCUGAGAUCCUUCAUUAGCUCCGUCAUUGGUACCGUAUCAUAGUGUCAAAAAAUAUCUUACAUUAUGAGGGAGUAGUAUAUCGUUGGACUGUAGGCAGGGUCUUCUGGACAGCACAACCAUCACAGCACAGAUCUAGCCUGGGGAAUUUUCCAUUUUGGUACCUGGUCUUUACAAUUUUCAUGAGCGUAGCGUGGCCAUUCCUGAGGUAGCAUUCGGUGUAGAAGACGACAGCAGCUACGGCAACGGCUUUAAUGCAGUCUUGUUCCUUUGCCAUGACGAGGAAAGAAAAAAGGAAGAAACAGAUCAAACACUGGUCCCAUACGUCUCUGUGAUCACAUCACAUCACUCAAAGAAAGAAAAGAAAAAAGAUACUAACUCCUAAGUGAGGCCAAAAACGUUAAAACUAAUUGCCGUGUUGCUACAGCAGUACAGCUAAAUAUAAAAAAGAUUACUCCUAAGUGAGGCAGUUGACUGAAGAGUUAACGCUACUGCCUUCCCUAGUUAACCAACUUUCUUAAGAACAACAAUACGAAAAUAGAACAGCAUUGAUCAACUAAGCAUAAUUAGAGUUGCGUUAUUUUUAGUGGUUGGCGGAUUCAAAUAUAUAUAAACAAAUAAAUAUGGAUUGUAUCCCUUGGGGCCUUGGGGGUAUGAAUGUUGAUUAUGCACUGGCAGUAAUCUACACAUUUUUGUGGAAACUCUGAAAAGUGUUCUGUCACUAACUACCUCGAGCAGUUUAGCCAAGAUUCGUUUUGACAGCAUCUGAUAGCCUAAGCAGAUUUUUACCUUGCUAGUUGAUUUCUCAUGAGAUGAACAGCACGCGCCAGCAUUUCCUACACAGUAGAGCGAGCCUGAGAACGCCCCUAACACAGCCAAAGUAAUCCACGAUUACCUGCACAGAAGGUUGGAAACUGUAACGCCAAACGACAAGCAGAUAGAUUUCUUUGCAAGUCACAACACCCCAUAGAAAGGAAAACGACCAGGUAUGCCUGACAACAGAUAGAGAAAAUAAAGAGUGCACCAAUAGUCCUUGGGGCUAGCAAGUUGAUAGUGUACAUCAACCUAGUAUAAUUUGACCAAAACAAUCUAACAACGAAUGGAGAUCAAAGCACAUCUCCAGCCCCUGCAUCCAAAGCGACAGUGCAUGUUUUCAUGCAGUUUAACAUCUCUAUAGUAUCACAUAUGUAUCUUUAAAUCCAGAAGUUCCAUUUAAUAUGGAUACUGUUCGGCAAGUCACAUUUGAAAUCAUAGUUCUAAAAUUGUUUGUUGUGCAGGAAUUGGCAACAUCUUCACACAUGUGUACCACAAGGAAAAAACCUAUCAAAAUUAUAAAUGGAGCAAGCGGGACAAUUCGUCCAUCACGGUAAGCAGCUCUACUUUUUACUAAAUCGAUAAUGGUUGAUACUGUUUAUCUCAGAGUAAGUGUUCCACUGAAAAACAUGUAACGCUCCAUAUCAGGAGUUCAUCAUUCAUUAAUUUAUUAUUCACCUAACAUGCUGAAUCUUUGUGAUCCCGUUACAUAAUCAGGAUGACACUUCUUCUAGGAGCACCUGGUUCUGGGAAAACUACUUUUUUAAAAGCAUUGGCAGGAAAGUUGGAUUCUUCUUUGAAGGUACACUGAGUUAUCUACUUGCCACCGAAACCACUUACUAACAAGACAAUCAUUGAUUAACCAGCAUUGUUUUUUUCUUGAUAUCACAUCUCUUAAUAGCUCAAAGGAAAGGUCAUGUACAAUGGAGAAGAAGUGAAUUCCUCAACACCUCAAUACCUGCAUGCCU
rnacentral:lncRNA from 1 species